AUGAGGGCCGAGAUGGGUGGCGGCGGGAAAGCAGAAGUCAAGCGCGGCGGGUUGCGGGCAGAGUGGCCGCGUUCGAGCACGGCGGCGGGCGAGCGAACGAGCACGGCGGGCGGAGGAGGGGGCCACAAUGGCGGAGGUGGCCGAAGAAGGAGCGUGGUGGCGGUGGGCGAGCUCCGCCGGCCUACUCAGCCCACCACGUUGCCCAAGAAAGGGAGGAGCAUGGCGAUGACGGUGGUGAGGCAGAUGAACUCUGAGCACGAAGGGCCCCACGCGGAGCUCCUUGGUGACGAUGGACAACCACCAAAUCUGGUCGAAGUUGUUUGCUUGCUACAACCUGCUGCUCUUGUUCAUCGUUUUUCGACUGGCCUUCAGUUAAUGGUUGCUGUACUUCAUGACCCGACAGUCAUAACUCAUAAGUCGGGGGCUGCCGUAUUUGGGGUGUGUUUAGUUCACGCUAAAAUUGGAAGUUUGGUUGAAAUUGUAACGAUGUAACAGAAAAGUUGGAAGUUCGUGUGUGUAGGAAAGUUUUGAUGUGAUGAAAAAGUUGAAAGUUUGAAGAAAAAAUUUGGAACUAAACUCGGCCUUGAACGUUCGGUUGAUCCUUUUGAGGUUCUCGAGGCUUUUGAGUCUCUUCGCCUGAUUGGCUGCCAGUCGGAUGUUGUUGAGCUGCAUCUCUUGACUAACCGCUGGUUGUGGGAUGCUCAAUUUUUUCCUGACUUGCCAAUCCAAUCAAUGUCAGAAGGUUUCAUGUAA
rnacentral:lncRNA from 4 species